CAGUCGCCGCGGGAAUACGGAGGGGGCUAGCGUUGUUCGGAAUUACUGGGCGUAAAGCGCACGUAGGCGGCUUGGUAAGUUAGAGGUGAAAGCCCGGAGCUCAACUCCGGAAUUGCCCUUAAGACUGCCGAGCUAGUAGGUGAGAGAGGUAAGUGGAAUUCCGAGUGUAGAGGUGAGAUUCGUAGAUAUUCGGAAGAACACCAGUGGCGAAGGCGGCUUACUGGCUCAUUCUAGACGCUGAGGUGCGAAAGCGUGGGGAGCAAACAGGAUUAGAUACCCCAGUAGUCCCUGUCUCUUAUAA
rnacentral:rRNA from 1 species